AGCCCCCAGGGCGCCUCGUCCGGGCAGCCCUCCCCACCGCCUGACGCGACUGCUCCUCGUCACACGGCGGGCCUUGGCCCGUGGCUAGAUUCCCGAGGCACGACGUCCAGGCCACAGCGCAGCCCAGGGUGGGAGACCGUCCGGGCGGGCCACAGGGCAGAAUAAGUCCGGUGCAGCCGCGGACAGCCCCGCUGGGUCCUCGCGCGAGGACCCGAGGGAGGCCUAGGGCUGGCUGAAGCGGUCCUGAAGCGGGAGGGGGCGGGACCAGCCGGAUCUCCAGGGCGACGGGCGCGCGCGCGUGAGCUCCUCCUCCUCGCGACACGUGCUGGGCCCCGCGACCCUUUGUCCAGGUGGGAGAAGUACCGACGCCAUUGAAAAGGGUCUGAGUGAAGGUCCACGGGGACCUGCUUGAGCCCCAGUCCACGCAUACUGCUUCCACGUGAUGGUAGCACAUUGCUGUGUGCCCAGUUCCAUGACCUGGUGGAGCAGACAUGUUCAUGAUGGACAGACAACUCAGGUCAUCUGGGAACUUGCUGGCCCAUGGUCAAGCAUUCAGGUCGUGUGUCACCUGUAAAGAUAAUCCUGGGAACAGAUGUAAAGGUGUGGGACCUGGCUAGGAGCCAAAGCCUCAAGAGGCUGGAGACCUUGGUGGAUUUUGUCCAGAUCCCAGUCUUCAUGAGACUUGUAUCCUGACCUCAGCUGUCCAGAUGGCUCCUGUGCACCCUACCUGCCUGUUCCCCUCUGCCUUGGCCAACCUCUGGGGCCCCCUCGGUCCUGCCUGUCUGCACGGACCCACUUUGAAUCGGUUCCCUGAGUUCUGAGCUCAGCUUCCUCAUCUGGACUUUAACUGCUUGAAGCACUGUCCUAGUAUAAGCUAAUUCUUUUCAGGUAAGACUUCUCUGGUCUAUGCCAAAUCUUGAUUUUGACUUCUCCACAGCUGCAGAGGCAACAUAUAAACUUGAGACCCACUAAGCUUAGAGGUAACUAUUACAGACAAUAAAAACUGAUGCCAAAGAUACACAGGUGAUGUAGAAAGUAACAUCAGGGCCAGCCGAGUGGCGCGAUGGUUAAGAACCCUUGAACAUUUGCAGUCACUCCCAGUUGCCACUCUCAGCCUCAGGCCACUCAUCUACAAUACUUUGUCUCUGAAGAUUUGGCUUUUCUGGACGUUUCAUAUAAAUAGAACUAUACAAUAUGUGGUCCCUGGCAUCUGGCUCUUUCCACUUAGAAUAAUGUUUUUGAAGUUUUGAUUUAAGUAUUAUAAUACACAUAUUAGUGAUUCUAAUGUUUAAAAAGUUUCAUUUCAGGGCCGGCCGAGUGGCGCGAUGGUUAAGAACUGGCUUGGGACGCCAGAGGGCCC